GGAGAGGUGACCGAGAGGCCGAAGGUGCACGACUGGAAAUCGUGUGUUCUGUUAAUAGCGGAACCGUGGGUUCGAAUCCCACCCUCUCCG
rnacentral:tRNA from 1 species